rnacentral:misc_RNA from 1 species
AAGGGGAAAAGCGAAGGCCGCCCGCCUAUCGGCGAAACGCGCUGGAGGGCCUGCGAGGAGGCUGUUGCCGCCGCAGCAGGACCGAAGCGUCGCGAGCCGAUGGCGGCCGGAGCUAGACAGGACGAAAAGCGGAGGCGAGCGUUUCGCCGCGAUGGGCAAAUGUUCUUCGCCUAGAGGGAUGUUUACAUCCCGAAGGCGAAGGUUAUUUGACCCCGAGCGGCGGCGAGCCGGAGCUAGACAAUUCGAAAAGCGGAGGCCGCAAUGGCCAACUGUCGAUACACAGCGCUUUCGUUUCGUUCGGUUUUGAGGGAAUGAGAAAUUCCUUCAAAAGCGCCUGUGCCUGCGUCUGCUAGCAGGUUCGGGGAAGUAGCUUCGUUUGCGUCUGCGUCUACAAGCGGAUUCGGAGAAGCCGAAUUCCUCGACGCAAGACUGCAGAGAAGCAAAUUCAAGAAGCAGUCUCGUUCCUUGAAAACUAGAUAACCGGAAACGCAAAGGAAGAAGCCGAGAGCGCUGUA